GGACAGUUAGCUCAGGGGUAGAGCACCGCCUUCACACGGCGGGGGUCACUGGUUCAAUCCCAGUACUGUCCA
rfam:Herbaspirillum sp. TSA66 contig01, whole genome shotgun sequence.